ensembl:snoRNA small nucleolar RNA SNORA36 family
AACCAAAGUGUUGAGUUCAGUCCUGAGUGCCGGUCUCAGGCCUGCUAAUUAAACUUUGGUACAGAGAACGGCAGAGCGACCGAGUUUCCGCUGUCGGCCGACAGCGGAGGUCACGUCUGCCGACAUCA